AUUGAACGCUAGCGGCAUGCCUUACACAUGCAAGUCGAACGGCAGCGGGGGAGCUUGCUCCCGCCGGCGAGUGGCGAACGGGUAAGUAAUACAUCGGAACGUACCCAGUAGCGGGGGAUAGCCCGGCGAAAGCCGGAUUAAUACCGCAUACGCCCUACGGCGGAAAGGGGGGUAUCGCAAAACCUCUCACUAUUGGAGCGGCCGAUGGCUGAUUAGCUAGUUGGUGGGGUAAAGGCCUACCAAGGCGACGAUCGGUAGCUGGUCUGAGAGGACGACCAGCCACACUGGGACUGAGACACGGCCCAGACUCCUACGGGAGGCAGCAGUGGGGAAUUUUGGACAAUGGGCGAAAGCCUGAUCCAGCAAUGCCGCGUGUGCGAAGAAGGCCUUCGGGUUGUAAAGCACUUUUGUCAGGGAAGAAAUCGUGUGGGUUAAUACCCCGAGCAGUUGACGGUACCUGAAGAAUAAGCACCGGCUAACUACGUGCCAGCCGCCGCCGUAA
rnacentral:rRNA from 1 species